rnacentral:rRNA from 1 species
UAGUUAAAAUUAAAGGUAAAUUCUGCCCUAUGAAAAUUUAAAUGGCUGCAGUAUACUGACUGUGCAAAGGUAGCAUAAUAAUUAGUCUUUUAAUUGGAGGCUUGUAUGAAUGAAUACAUGAGAAGUUUAUUUUAUUAUUUUUACAAUUUGAAUUUAAUUUUUUAGUAAAAAAGCUUAAUUAUUUUUUUGGGACGAGAAGACCCUAUAGAAUUUAAAUUUUUUUGUUUUUAAUUAUUUUUUAGUAUAAUUAAUUUUUUUUUAUUUAUAGUAAAUUUUAGUUGGGGUGAUUAAUAAAUUUGACUUUAUUUUUAAAUUUCAUUAAUUUAUGUUUAAUUGAUCCAUUUAGUUGAUUUAAAGAUAAAAUUACCUUAGGGAUAACAGCGUAAUUUUUAUGGGGAGUUCAUAUUUAUAUAAAAGUUUGCGACCUCGAUGUUGAAUUAAGAUAAUUGUAUGGGGCAG